rnacentral:rRNA from 1 species
CCUACGGGAGGCAGCAGUGGGGAAUAUUGCGCAAUGGGGGGAACCCUGACGCAGCGACGCCGCGUGCGGGAUGGAGGCCUUCGGGUUGUGAACCGCUUUUGGUAAGGAGCAAGCGAGAGUGAGUGUACUUAUCGAAUAAGGACCGGCUAACUACGUGCCAGCAGCCGCGGUAAU